GGAUAGCGCGAGUACCUGAAAUAAGGUAGACGAGGAAGAGGAGUAUCGAAGUAAUCAGCGGAUGCCUCUCGGCAGCUUCAGCCGUCAUGUCAAGGCAAAACGUCCCGGUAACGGAGCGCACAAGGUCUU
rnacentral:ncRNA from 1 species